GAUGAAGAAGUAGUGAAAUGCGAUAAGUAAUGUGAAUUGCAGAAUUCAGUGAAUCAUCGAAUCUUUGAACGCACAUUGCGCCCGCCAGUAUUCUGGCGGGCAUGCCUGUCUGAGCGUCAUUUCAACCCUCAAGCAACUUCUGCUUGGUGUUGGGGAUCGGCCGUCAAACGCCGCCCCCGAAAUCUAUUGGCGAUCUCGCUGUAGCUUCCUAUGCGUAGUAGUAACAUCUCGCAUCUGGAGAGCGGCGCGGUCAUGCCGUAAAACACCCAACUUCUCAGGUUGACCUCAGAUCAGGUAGGAAUACCCGCUGAACUUAAGCAUAUCAAUAAGCGGAGGA
rnacentral:misc_RNA from 1 species